UGGGCUUGCUAAUUACAAAGAAUACAUAGA
rnacentral:piRNA from 1 species